rnacentral:lncRNA from 1 species
GUGUACCCCUCUGAAAGUAAUUUGUUGUGAGCACAGUGUAGGUGCCUUGUAGACUCCACGGAGCUUUCGAGAGUCAGGUGCUGGUCUCUGCAAGGGUCUGAACAUGGUGCUAACCUAAGAUGAGCAGAGAUCAUCUGUCUUGGGUCCUGGAGAACACCACGACUUGCCUUUGGAAGAGAUUCAUCUUCCUAAUGCUGUUUUUCCCAGCAUGCUCUGAGAGUUAGCAUUUCCUGUGCAUGCACGCGUGCACACACACACACACACACACACACACACACCCUGCCUCAGCAGCAUAGAUGAGCUGCAGAACAAUGGGACAAAAAGAAGGAACACUGGGGCCCAACAUUUUCUAGAAUAAUCAAUAAUCGAAGUUGACAAUCUUUUGACUACACAGUCCAUGGUAGAGAUAAGUGUCCCACUGGCGGGUAAGACAGCCACAACCACAUGAGCAAGAGCACAGUGCUGAGUGCAGCUCAGGGGCCAUCAAGCCUCGGCAGCAGAAGUACAGGAAACCUCAAAGAACAAAGGAAAGCCAUCAGGAGAAGAGUGACCUCACUCUAUCCGCUCCCAUAUCCUCAAGGCAAUAGCCCCUCCCCUUCUCGUUAAAUUGUGUUCUCUGCUUGCUCUACACUGACUCCCCUUUGGACUCAGCCCACUCACCAGCAUUAAAUAAACAAAGCAUUAAAUAAACAAGCCUCUUUGUUCACACAGUGCGUGCCCGGGUACUCUCCUCUCUGUGUCUCUCUAAUAUGGGCAGGUGUCUCUUUGAAACCUGGCACCGUGUCACAGAACACGCAGCUGCCAGGGGUCCUUCUCAAGUAUCAGACGCUCUAACACCGUGGGAAAGCAUAGUCUGCUCUGAAAGCACCUCCAGUACCUGACACGCUGCGGGCUGUAUGGAGUCAAGGACCAUCGCAGCGGCCAUCAUGCUCGUGACCUGGCCACUGCCCUGGACGCAGCUGGCACAACAGGGGAGGAUCCGUCCCCCCCCCCCCGAUGGCCAGGCUUGGCAGUGAUCUGUGGGAGAGGUCUGCCGAGAUGAACCACACUAGGUUGGCACCCAGUGAGGUGAAGCUGAUGCAGGAAACCAAGGGCACCUGGGAGCUCUGAAGGACAGAAAGGGAGAGAAGCAGAGGACAGCUAGCAAUUAAUUAGCAACACAGUUCCAGGAGCAGAUGUGGAGCGGGGCUGAGGCAUAUGUGGGGAAGGUCUGGAG